CUUGCCAUAGCUUUUAAAGGAGCCAGUGUCAGUGUGUGACAGAGAGCAGCAGUCACUGGGACUCAGUGUGUACUUUACCUCAGUGCUCCUCCCUCUGUCCUGCAGCCAUGAAGCUCCUACCAGCCCUGCUCACCCUCACAGCACUGGCUCUCUCAGGUGUGAAGGCUCAGAUUGUACUGACUGAGUCUGAAUCAGUGGUGAAGAGACCAGGAGAAUCACACAAACUAACAUGUACAGCCUCUGGCUUCACAUUCAGUAGCUAUCGUAUGCACUGGGUCAGACAGGCUCCUGGGAAGGGACUGGAGUGGAUCGCUUCUGCACAUGGCAGUAGCCCUUACUACUCCCAGAUUUUUCAGGGCAGAUUCACCAUCUCCAGAGACGACGGCAAGAACCAGGUGUAUUUACAGAUGAACAGCCUGAAAGCUGAAGACACGGCUGUGUACUACUGUGCCAGAGAGUCACAGUGAUGGGGGCUGUGGGGAAGCCGUACAAAUACUACUUCCU